rnacentral:misc_RNA from 1 species
UCUCAGGUUCAAGAUCUGAAGCUCAUUUCUCAACACUUCCUUCCAUUUUUCUUGAGGUUCUCUCCACAUUUACAGAUCGGUGCUCUUUAUACAGCUGAUCUUAUUCAUACAUAUCACAGGGUCAUACUAGCACAGUCGUCUGUCUUGCGUACUACAUACAUGUGAUAACUCUCGAUUUUUAUCUUAAAACAUGUCAGCAUUUUAUACCUGCACACUGACAGUGACCAUCCAGUGGAGCAUGCUGGUUCCAUUUUGUUCAAGACUUUACACGUCCUCUGUGUUCACAACAUACAUUUCACUACUAUGUAGCGUACACAGCUGUUCAUACACAGGCUGCCCAUUGGUGAUCAGAAACUCUCACAAUAAUAAAAUAUAUAUCAUUAAUAUCUAGAUUUAAAAUAUUUUAUAAUAAAUUUUAAAAACCUUGAAAUAUUUAUUUCAGGGUUUCCCAAGUCUCAGAACAAGCAAGUCCAGACAGAGGCAUUUACUUCAAAAGAUGCAUCACAGCAAGUUGAGACGCCAGCACUUGUUGACAAUGAAGUUCAAACAGAAGUAGAACCAGUUGUUACUUUAACGCUUGUUGACAAUAAAGUCCAAACAGAGGUGGAGCCAGUUGAUUAUAGAAGA